rnacentral:tRNA from 1 species
GGUGGCUCAGUGGUAGAGUGCUUGCCUCCGGUGCAUGAGACCCUGGGUUCGAUUCCUCAGCACCA